rnacentral:rRNA from 1 species
UACGUAGGGUGCGAGCGUUAAUCGGAAUUACUGGGCGUAAAGCGUGCGCAGGCGGUUCGUUGUGUCGGCGGUGAAAGCCCCGGGCUUAACCUGGGAAUGGCCGUCGAAACUGGCGAACUGGAGUGUGGCAGAGGGGGGUGGAAUUCCUGGUGUAGCGGUGGAAUGCGCAGAUAUCAGGAGGAACACCGGUGGCGAAGGCGGGUCUCUGGGCCAUUACUGACGCUGAGGAGCGAAAGCGUGGGGAGCGAACAGG